CAGUAGCCGCGGGAAUACGUAGGUGGCAAGCGUUGUCCGGAAUUAUUGGGCGUAAAGCGCGCGCAGGCGGAUAGGUCAGUCUGUCUUAAAAGUUCGGGGCUUAACCCCGUGAUGGGAUGGAAACUGCCAAUCUAGAGUAUUGGAGAGGAAAGUGGAAUUCCUAGUGUAGCGGUGAAAUGCGUAGAUACUAGGAAGAACACCAGUGGCGAAGGCGACUUUCUGGACGAAAACUGACGCUGAGGCGCGAAAGCCAGGGGAGCGAACGGGAUUAGAUACCCCGGUAGUCCCUGUCUCUUAUACA
rnacentral:rRNA from 1 species